rnacentral:rRNA from 1 species
UACGAAGGGGGCUAGCGUUGCUCGGAAUCACUGGGCGUAAAGCGCACGUAGGCGGAUUGUUAAGUCAGGGGUGAAAUCCCGGGGCUCAACCCCGGAACUGCCUUUGAUACUGAUAGUCUCGAGUCCGGAAGAGGUGAGUGGAAUUCCUGGUGUAGCGGUGAAAUGCGCAGAUAUCAGGAGGAACACCAGCGGCGAAGGCGGCGCUCUGGGCCGGAACUGACGCUGAGGAGCGAAAGCGUGGGUAGCAAACAGG